UGAGUACGAGAUGCUACGGCAUCGAAGCAGUCUAUGUCAUACUUCCAAGAAAAGCUUGCAAUGUCAUAAACAAAUAAUGCCUGUACCAUAACCGACACAGGUGGGUAGGUAGAGUAUACUAAGGGGCGCGAGAUAACUCUCUCUAAGGAACUCGGCAAAAUGACUCCGUAACUUCGGGAGAAGGAGUGCCUUAUUUUUAUAAGGUUGCAAUAACAAGAUCCAAGCAACUGUUUACCAAAAACACAGGUCUCCGCUAAGUCGUAAGACGAUGUAUGGGGGCUGACGCCUGCCCAGUGCCAGAAGGUUAAAGAAGUUGGUUAGCAUUAGCGAAGCUGAUAACUGAAGCCCUGGUGAACGGCGGCCGUAACGAUAACGGUCCUAAGGUAGCGAAAUUCCUUGUCGGGUAAGUUCCGACCCGCACGAAAGGCGUAAUGAUUUGGAUACUGUCUCGGAGAGGGGCUCGGUGAAAUAGACUUGUCUGUGAAGAUGCGGACUACCUGCACCUGGACAGAAAGACCCUAUGAAGCUUUACUGUAACUUGAGAUUGAAAUUGGACUUUAUCUGCGCAGUAUAGGUGGGAGACGUUGAAAAUAUUCUUGCGGGAAUAUUGGAGUCAUCAGUGAGAUACCACUCUUAUAAUGUUAGAUUUCUAACUUUGUAUCAUUAUCUGGUCAAAGAACAGUUUCAGGCGGGCAGUUUGACUGGGGCGGUCGCCUCCCAAACGGUAACGGAGGCGCACAAAGGUUUCCUCUGAACGUGUAGAAAUCGUAUCUAGAGUGUAAAGGCAUAAGGAAGCUUGACUGUGAGACCUACAAGUCGAGCAGGGACGAAAGUCGGUCUUAGUGAUCUGACGGUGCUGAGUGGAAAGGCCGACACUCAACGGAUAAAAGUUACUCUAGGAUAACAGGCUGAUCUCCCCCAAGAGUUCACAUCGACGGGGAGGUUUGGCACCUCGAUGUCGGCUCAUCGCAUCCUGGGGCGGUAGUACGUCCCAAGGGUUGGGCUGUUCGCCCAUGAAAGCGGUACGCGAGCUGGGUUCAGAACGUCGUGAGACAGUUCGGUCCAUAUCCGGUGUAGGCGUUAGAAUAUUGAGAGGAGCCUUCUUUAGUACGAGAGGACCGAGAAGGACAUACCUCUGGUGUACCAGUUAUCGUGCCAACGGUAAACGCUGGGUAGCCAUGUAUGGAGAGGAUAACCGCUGAAAGCAUCUAAGUGGGAAGCCCACCUCAAGAUAAGUAUUCUCAU
rnacentral:rRNA from 1 species